UGAGUGAAUUUGAAGUGCUCUCAUAUGCAUUAAGUUGUCCAUACCUUUCUGAAGCAAAAUAAAAAUUAUUUUAUACAAUAAGACACUGUUUAUCUGAAGAGUUGGGUUGAUGAAAGAAUUUGGCUGGUUGUUCUUGACCUCUCUAAACAAAUAAUAUAUGGGGUGACAACGUGCAAAGCAUUAAUAUGGUAAAAUACCCUGAAUAUUAAAAGUAUGCUGACUGGUGUUACUCUCCUUUGAAGUAAGACAUAUCACAAUCUUGGGGCCUCAGAUUCAAUAUUAACAUUACUUUUAGUUUACCUAAAGAUGUAGGUUAAGAUGUAGUAGUUUAUACUAACCCCUAGAAAUACUUACAUGGGUGUUAACAUUUUCAAAUACCUUCUAGCAACCAAGCAUGUACAGUGUCUCAGAGGGCCAGACAUAAAUGUUUGGAUGACGUCUGCUUCUCUGUUCUCACACAGUCUGUCUUGUGCUCCAGAAGAUUUGUCCACGUCUACAAGUAGCUAUACAGUACAAAGAAGAGCAAGAGUGCUGUGUGUGUGUGUGUGUGUGUGUGUGUGUGUGUUGGGUGGGUAGUUGGGUGGGAAUGGGAAACCACACUGUAGUAGCAGUUCAGCUGGGGGAUUAAGUGGGAUUUGAAAGAGAUUGGGGGAGGAAAGUCAAGAAGAGAACGCUGACCAAAGACGUGGGUAAGCUUCUAUCUAUGGGUAGUAUUUUCUGGGUAAUUAAAUCAUUCAGUAUAGGCCUAUGAGUUGAUUAAAUAUUUUUUGUGUCCAGGACUAGUUAAAUCUCAGAUGAGUCAGAAAUCUGAGUCCAUAAUGAAAUACAAACUAUCUCAACAAAACUUUGUUCAUAUUCCUUUGCCCAUUUCUAUUAUAACACUGAAAAUACUUGUUAUGACAGACAAUAUGUGAUUUUUGGAGUUCCUAGGAAGGAUAGUGCCUUCUUUUUAAGGGAGACCUUCAUUUAUUCUGAGCAUUUUGUUCAGUGUAUGCAAAAACAACCCCCACCCCUCCACAAAAUUUCCCCAGUUAUCUCCCCAGAAUACUGGACCCAGUCUAUUUCUCACAGUGUAUACCUUUCAAACCCCAUGAUUUUAGGUGGUAAAGUGAUCCUUCUUUGGUUUUUAUACUAUUUCUAGGACUGUAGUACCCAUUUUACUCUUAAUGUUGGAUUGUAGUUUGUUUUCCUUAACCUGUAUCACUCCAGAAUCCCCUUCAUAGAAGAUGAGGGGAACAUUAUAAAAUCCAAGUAUUCCUCAGGUCUUUCCAAGAUGAAGUUUUAGUUUGAUAGCUUUUUACUUUUCUGUUUUUUUGGAAGCUCAGUUAAUAGCCACACCUUCCCUUUCAAUGAAGAGCCACAGGAAGGAAGCGCAGACCAUUUAAAUGUCCCUUGAAUGGGGGAGGGUUUGUUUCUUUAUUCUAAAGGACCCUCUGACCUACGGAUCACGGACAGACAUGCCAUCUCUAACUUUGAUUUUCAUUGUGCACUCCUUCCGAGAAUCCUCCCUGGACAAUUUCAGAAGCAGCCAGCCCCACUGUGGACUUCCUUGCAGCUGUGAAGAAACUGGCAGCCACCUUCUGAGUGAUCCACCCUUUGGAAUGAAGUGCAGUUGUCAAGGUGGCUUUCUUCUGUGGAUUGCACUGCACUUGGGGCAAAGGGGAAGUGACAGAGCAAAAGGAAAUGCUUCCUUCUGGAAUCCGGAUGAGGAGAGGAUGAUGAGGAACCUAAUUGUGGGCUUGGGAAGUGACUUGUCGACCCUGCCCUGAGAGCCUGCUCGAGAGGAUUGGCAGACUCUCCUGGUCCUGCUGUGAAUCCCUCAGGCUUGUGAGGGACGACAGAUGGUUGAGCUAAACUCGGAGCCACCCCUCUACAUAAUGAUGAAAAAUGACCAGCCUCCUGGUAAGUGGAAAUCAGAACCCAUGCACCUUUAAUCCUGACAAACAGGACAUUGAAACAAACACAAAGUGGAGAAGAGAGAGAAAAACCUUUCACAGGUUACCAGUCUGUUUUUGUUGAUACUCUCUGCACUUACUAGUAGGAGAUCUUCACAUACCUACUUUUUCAUCUAUAUAUUCACUACACGGAGACUAAUGAGACCAAGAAAUAAUCCUGUGUGCCUUUUUGGGUAUAACUAAACUCCGUAAAUGCUAAAGAUGUGAGUCAGGAUCCAAGUAGGGUUGCAGAGUUGCUCUCUGGGCCCUGCUAUGUUCCCAGCUCCUUCCACGGUUGUCUGCCUCUCUGGUAACUCGUGCAAAAUCAUGGCUGUGUGUGGGCCUUGUGGCCCAGGCUUUUGUACCUGGCCUCUGCUAAUUGGACCAUUGGUACCUGACUCAAGAACAGCUAACAUCCAGUCUAGCCAGUGAGUGACUUGGGCCAGUUGCAGAGUGGAAGCCAGUUGGUAGAGAGCAGAGAGGCGGACAGCAGCUGAGUCCCAGUAAUUGCAGCUGCAAGAGUGAAGAUUCUUGAACAUGUCUAGUGACUUCAGCUCCACUUACUGUCUCCCUGAAGCAUGUAGUCGAACUCUUGUAAGAUGUCUGUCUUCCUCAUUACCACUCAUACCUUAUGAGGAUACUUGCUGAUGUGAACUGACCUCUGUGACACCAUGUCCAUGGGCACUAGAGCACAGCACAGCACGCAGUCAGAAAGCUUGGCUUCCAUGCCAGCUCUACCCAUUUCUAGCUGAUGAAUUCGUGGGUGAGGUUAUCACCGCCUGAAGCAUCAGUUUUCUUCCCCUAUAAAAUGAGAUAACAGUACCUGCCUCAGAGUGUUAGAAGAAUUAAUAUAUAACAGAUGGAGCCCUUAGCAUAGUACCUAGUACCCUAGUACAUGGUAUGUGCUCAAGAGAUGUUGGAUGUCGUUGUUACUGUUGUUGUUGUCGUCAUCAUUAUCACCCAAAGACUGAUGAAUAUUUUUUGCUGAAAGACUAUGAAGUGCCAGGGCUAUUACUGUUCACUUCUUGUCCACUGGUAUGAUUCCUUUCCUUUCUCCUUUCUUCCCUUCCCUAAGCCCCUUAGAACUCUAUUGGCCUGAUUUUUGUCCACAAACCUGAGGCUGUUUUUGACUGCUCCUGUGAGAGAGAAACAUCUAGCAUGCAAAGGAAAUCCCAAAUCCCAUGAGUAUCAGAGGGAUGAUUAUACCUGGAUAAAACCAUAUUUACAUGAUGCCUUCCAUAAAUACAUGCACCGUUUACAUGUCUCUCUGCCAACUCAUUAUAAAAAAGAGAAGGAUUUUAAUGACAUUCUUACAUAUUUUCCCAAGUAACUGUUGGUGUUCACUGAAAUACAUAAACAUGCUACAAUAUUUUGACCAUAUCUCUUAUCCUUUGAUGACCAAGCCUCUCUAGGUUCUCUCCCGCUGGCACCUGGACCAGGAGAAGAAGGUAAGCAAAGAUGGUCUUUUAUCUCUGGACUGUUCACCUUUGGCUCAGUGCCUCACUGCUUAUGUGCCGGAAAGAGAGGUAAAAAGUAAUUAUUAAAGAGAGCGUCCCCACUGUCAGCGCUGUGACCUCCUUCUCUGGCAGCCAGCUUUCUAAACAAGCAUCUUAAUAUUUCAGCAGAUGGUGCCAGGGUUUGUUAAAGCAGCCUACAGUAUUCCCAGGUCAUUCCCACAUUUCUGGAUUCUUUGUAAUUAGCUCGCAACAUAGGUGAAAGUGAGCUCAGAUGUAACCUAAACCCGUGGAGCUUGGAAAAAGAGAAGCAUCUGGUGAGAGUAGCCGGGUAAUCUUGUUUGGCUUUCAGGGAGUUGCCCCAGAGGUGAGCUCUAGAAGAGUAACAGCAGCUAGAAGUCAUUGUAUCUUUGUUCAGUGGUCCGUCCUGGCUGCCCAUUUGCUUCCAGAUACAAUUCAGGUAUUGAUUUUCAUUUAUAAAGUCCUUUGUCAUUUUUGUCCCCAGACUAGUUUUCUUGAAAAUCGACUCUCGCUCCUUGGUUUAUUAUUAGUUCGUUGUCUCUGUUCCUACAUUUUUGUACAAGUGUUUGGGAUCUCACAUAAAAGGUGUUACAAUUUUUUACACAAACAGGUUCUUAAAAUCUUGUAAGACUAAAUUUAAAGUAAGUAUUUUACCAUAUCAGGGUCAGUGAUCUUAUUUUCCUAAUGUUACAGCUGUUUUCUUUGUAGAAGGAACUCUUUUCUUCACAACCCACUCUGCCUGAAUAAUUCUGGGCAUGUAACUAUUUCUUUAUUGAUUUAUAUGGCAUAGCAACAUCUACGGAGACUUCCAGUCAUUUGAGGUAGUAUCUUCUAUCCCCUUCAUGUUGUGACUGGGUGAGGCAGUGUUGGAUGGCCUUUCAGGCUCACAAGCAACUCCACAGAUGUUUUAGGCCCAAGAGCACUUUAAAAGUAGGAGUUGUUAUUAUAUUCCUAAUGAUACGAAUCAUAGAUAUAGAAUUUAAUGACCUCUCUUCUUCUAAGAAUUUUCCUUUUAUGACUUAGAAGAAAGUCAAGAAAGAUACCUUUCCCUUCUGAUUUUUUUCCCCCUAGUCCACCUUUGUUUCUGUUUCUGACAGCAACUAUCCUCUUAGCAGAAACUUUGCUCAGUAAAGAUUGUUAAAUACAUAUUAAAAACCUAAGUACAUAUUAAGGACUUACUGCUACCCAGGCACUAUUAAAUGACUUACAUUUAUUUUUAUUCAGUUAUGAUAACUCCUCAUGUAACUAGGAUAUUAUUUGUUUCAUAGGUGAGGACCCUGAGAUUACCUAGGUAGUGAAUGGUAGAAGUUCAAGUCCAUCAGACUUUAAAAGCCUUUCAACAGAGACUGAAUGGAAAGAACUCCACAGUUACUUUCCAUCAUGCCCCCUUGCCUAACUUUUCUUUUUUGUCCGUUCCUAAUUUUGUUUCCUCCUUAUUUAUGGAUGCAAUAGACCCAAUAAACGCUCUAUGCUGUGAAGCAGAAUUAGGAAUGAAAUGGGGAAAAACAUCACAUCUGAGUUAACUACCUUUCCAAAUGUAUGGUUUUUACCCAGGAAGAAAUGCUCUUUAGGAAAACACAGUCAGAAUAUCAAAGAUGAGUUAGAGUGGUUAAUGAGAAUGAGAAGCGCUGUGGUAUCUAGGGUCAGAAAGUACAUAUGACUCCUUCUCCUUUCUGCAUGUGGCAACAAUAUCUGGGUGUUACUUUCCUUACCAGAGGAGUCAUUUACUAUCAGAGGAGUGAAUGAAUUCUUUGAAAUGGGGCCUCUGAGUGGUUAGCUGUUCUUCAUCCUUACGAUCAUCUUCUGUCCUUGUAAGUAUUUGCAAUUUCUCCUCACAAGGGCAGACUUGGAAAGCCUUACUGACAUUUAGAGGGAAAAUACCUGAUAUUCUGGCCUUGGUACUUAGGAUUCCCCUCCUGAAUGUUAAGCAAAUUCAAAUAGCAAAGGUACUCCUAAGGAAUCCUUUUUGGCCAGAUGGAUCAGGGAUAAAUUUCCAAAAUUAGUGCUGCACAGAGAAUUCUCUCUCAUGGACGAAUUAUUCUCCCCUCUCUGAGGACCAUCUGUCUCAUGGGCAGAAGAAAAAUAGGCAUCUGUUCAGAUCUGUAGGGUUGCCAUUUGGACCCAUUCCUAUAGUGUUUCCAAGUGGAGGGUUGGGUUGUCUUUGGGCCAACCCAAAGCCUUAAGUGCUAGGGUCUUUUAAGUAAAGAAUUAUAGAAUUAAGACAAAAUAAUUUUGAUCCAGAACCUGGUUUUGUUGAGCAAGGAUUGGUGAAUAAUCCAUCUUCUAGACCAGGGAUCUACAAACUUUUUAUGUAAAGAGCAAGAUAAUAUUUUAGGCUUUGCAGUCCCUAUGAUCUCUGCCAUAGCUAAUUAACUCUUUUAUUGUAGCACAAAAGCAGUGGUAGAUAACACAUAAAUGAGUAGUCAUGGCUAUGUCUCAAUAAAACUUUAUUUACAAAAACUUUAUUGGUCAGCAAGAUUUGCCCAGCAGGCCAUAGUUUUUGUCAACCCCUGUUCUAGACCCCAGGAAUUCAAUAUAUAUAGGAGAUUUUUCCAUCACAGGAUUCAGGUUCAUGCAGUGUAGUUGUCAAGGCUGAUGUUGUGAAGUUUAUACCCUUAGAUUUGUAGAUUUGGUAAUGGCAAUUUUGCCCUCCACUUCUGUGUUAUUCACUAUUUAUCAGAGGUCCUGAUUAUUUGGAAGUAAUUUCAUCAUCAACACAAGAUGACUUCAAGAAGAUCUCUUGCUGAUGUUGGACUCCGAGAAGAGCACCAGAUGCCUUUGAACAUCAGUCUGAACACAUCCAUUUGAAUAUGCUGCUUCUAAACUGAAUGUGACUAGUUCAAUCCUGGGACACCAUUGGGUAUGCUGAAUAAGGUCAAUCAUACUGAAUAGACUUCCUUUACCUCUAGACUUUGCCUCCAUAUGGGUUGGAGUUCUUCAUCAUAAAACUAAUAACUUCCUUCCAAAGAUGCUGUGGGUGGUUCGGCUUAUCACAAUCACAGUGAUGGAUGUGGGCCCAGUAACUCUCCCAUUUUGGCUCUGAAAGGAUACAUUGAGGGGGAAAAGCUGCAGAUGUGAGCCACCAAAAUAAACACACAUGUGUCAGAACUGAUGCUUCCUGUUUCUUGGGCUUAAAUUCUUUACAUCUAGACUGAUGGCUAACUGUGUAGGCAAGUGAAUUGGAAAUUGUUUACAAGCUAGAAUGUGAAUACCAGUCAAAUAUUUCUGCAUUAUUUUGUGUCAUUUCCUCUCUGUUUUCCAUGGGAAGGGGUUGUAAUUGUGCCCAUCUGAAAAUUCUGCUUUUACUGCCCAAUUUAAAGAGAUACUGCCUUGUUAGACACAAGCAGCAUUUGCCUUUUUAGUUUUCAUCAGGAAUGUGUAGUAAGGGAGAGGUACUGACCUCUUUGCUACUGAAAGGCAGUAUUCAUAUUUCUGUAUUGGUCUUAAGACUUAAUUUUUUUUUGGAUGAGUCAAACAGCUGGGCAACUACUUGGGUCCCACUUAAACAUGUUGGAGGUAAAUGGAAGCCUCAGAUACCUAUAGUGCAAUUAUGUACCCAAGAGCUCAGUUUUACUAGGUGAAUUCACUGUCAACAGAGAAGAAUGAAUGAGAAAUAAAGAAUGUAAGGAAUAGUAGUGAGAGGGAAAAGUACUGAUAUUUUUUUCCCAUCUUAUUCCUAAUCCAUAGAAGUAUAAGCUUCCAGAUACCAUUAAUUGAUGUUAAUGGAGUUUAUAUUGUCUUGCGGAAAAUGGUACAUGGAGUCCUCGAUUGCUUGUUAGAUUCUCAUUUGUGUAUUAUGUUAACUCACCUUCUCCUACUGACAUGUUUGUGAUGUUUUCAAAGGGACCAGUAGCUAGGGUUGCUUUCUAUGAGCAGAGGAAGUAAGAGGAAGAGAGUGGAGAAAAUUACAUGGAAAUAGUUUUUUUCCCCUUAGUAUUUUCUUUAGAAUUGAAGGAACCAGGGGCACCUGGGUGGCUCAGUCAGUUAAGCGUCUGACUUCAGCUCAGGUCAUGAUCUCACAGCCACUGAGUUUGAGCCCUGAGUCGGGCUCUGUGCUGACAGCUCAGAGCCUGGAGUCUGCUUCGGAUUCUGUGUCUCCCUCUCUCUCUGCCCCUCCCCUGCUCAUGGUCUGUCUCUGUCUCAAAAAAAAAAAAUUUUUUUUUGAGGAACCAGUGUGAAAAAUAAAUCACAUAUAAAUGAGUAAAUUCAGUAGUAUUGGCUUAUUAUGGAAAAGUUCACUUUUUCAUGUGUGAGAUUUUAGGAGUUUAAUGAGAUCUUCUACAACUUUUUACGAUAAUGAGCAAGAAAGACAAAAAGGCAAUUGCAAUACAGAAUGGUGAGGGUGAGUGUAUCAGGGUGCUGUAGAGUAGCAACAGAGAAGCUCCUAACUUAGACUUGAAGAGACAGAUCUAUCUUUCUGGCAGAAGUAACAUAUAAGCUGAAACUCGGAAAGUAGUGAGAGACAUGCCAUGUACAGAGUCUGGACUGUCUAGAGAUCAGGAAAAAACCCACAUGAGUUACAAAACUUUCCAAUAGUUUAUUUUAAUGACAGAAUAGGGACAAGGGAGAGAGUAAUGAGAGGCAAGACUUACCGAUAUGAACAGAGGCCAGCUCUUGAUAGGUUUUCUAUACUAUGUUUAGAAGAUUAGGUUUUUUCUAGGGCCAAUGGGAUACCUUAAAAAAAAAAGUUUUAAAUGGGAGCGAUAACGAUUAGAUUUGAUCGUUACAAAAAAUACGGACGAGGGGCUGGGAGGAGGAUAUGAAGAAAGGAGAUCAGCUAUACCAUUGCUGUAAAGCUAAUGAGAGGUGAUAUCCAAUUCUAAAACCUAUCCAGUUAGGAAUUAGUGGCCAUAGAAUCUUUUUAAAAAUUAC